GCCCCCGUAGCUCAGUGGAUAGAGCGGCGGCCUCCGGAGCCGUGCGCGGGCGUUCGAGUCGCCCCGGGGGUACCA
rnacentral:tRNA from 1 species